rnacentral:lncRNA from 1 species
AUUAUUUAGAUCAAUCACAAUAAUAUUAGAGCACCAUUAGGAUUUGAUCUAUGAGUACUAAUCACAUAAAUUAUUUUUUUCACAAAAAUAAAAAGAUUAAAUUUAUUUUUAUAUUUUUUUCUCGAUACAUCAAUUAAAAUUAAUCGACAUUUUUUCUUUUCUCAAAAUAACCUUAUUUAUCUAUUUUCACAAAAUAAUCUUAUAAAAUUAAUUAUCUCUAUUUUGAGAAAGAGAAAAUGCCAAUUAAUUUUAAUUGAUGUAUUGAGAAAAAAAUUAAAAAAUCUAAAUUUAAGGACAAUCUUGUUAUUUUUGUCAAAAAAAUUAGUUUCAUGAGAUAAUCUUGAUACUGUUUUUAAAAAUAAGGAAGAUCAAUGCUAUUUUAAAAUUUAUAAAAAUAUAGUCGUAAUUGCCUAAAAUCUCAUAAGAGAUCAGUGAAAUUUAUCCAAAUUAAAAGCCAAAAAAACUUCUUUGAGUCCAAAUGAAAUCACCCUUUUUUGGGAAGUUUUAUUUUGUCAUAUUUGUACUACCCUAUUGUGUUCCAAAACGAGUUACCAGUCCUGUCUAACAUCAACCCACACACAAGACAAGAUUUACAUAAUUCGGCCAACAAUUACCUACGUUUCACGGGAGGAACUGUAAUUCACUAUCUCAAGAAUGAAUUACAAUAAUACAAAGGAGGAGAUCACCCUCAACUCACUCAAUCAUCUCAUCUCUCAAUCUCUCAGUCUUGUUCUCUUUCUCUCACACCAACCACCCUUCUCUCACAGCCUCUUCACUCUGUACUCUUUACAGAGUUUAUCCCCUCAGAUCUCCACUGCACUCCUCUUCUUCUUCUGCUCUCAAACCGAGUCUUAUAUCGAGGAGGUUUGGCCUCCCAUCUUUUGAAAUGGAGAGCCAUUAUGCUGCUUCCCAAUGUAUCCUUUCCUUCUCUCUCCGCCUCUCUUUUCUUCUUCCAGCCUUCUAUCAGAGACUUUCGUCUCUGAUAGCUUGUAAAAACCAAGAUGCAUUAAAGAAGGAUAAUUGGUCAUGUCCCUCUAUUGGCUUGGGCCUUUCUUCUUGGACUUGGCUUCCAAUUUGGGCUGGAUCCAACAUCUCCCCCUCCCCACCCAUUGGAGGGUAAUCUGAAGUCUUCAAGUUAUCCUCCGACAACUUCUGAUCCACCCAGCUCCCCCCGUAAGAUCUUGCAAGACGCAUCCGAGAUACUUCCCUCAUCAAUGGGCAACUUCACUUUCCACCGAAGUGAAUGCACUUCCCGACUAAAGUGCCUGCCAACUCUCACUUAGAGUGCCUUGCUCUGCCCUCACCGGAGAGCGCCACAAAGUACAUCACUUGGCGAGUCGUCGUGGCUCCCCUUCCUCCCUUUGUAACAUCUGAGAGAUCACUGCCCCUAAUCAAAUCGAGAGCAAAGAGACUCGUUUCGGCGACGUCGCACCUGUCGAUGGACAAUUUCUUCAAACUGCGUUGUCUCCUUCCUCUGAACUUUCUAUGGACAUCUUGCACUGGUCGCACCGAUCGUGUCCUGAUCAGACUUCCCGCACGUGUGCUCAAAAGCCUCUCCGUGUGCUCCUGUACCACUCUGGCUCCUCUAGGGUAAUCCUUGCGCUUGCUUUGUUGCUGUGUGCCUGUUGCUUCCCUUGUCCACUCUUCCGUCUUAAUAUCACUGGUACCCCCAUGUCGGACAGCAUCUCUGCCUCCUGUCUGGACAUUCCCACCUCCAGUCGAAUAGUCCUCUAUCUCCCUUCCCCUCAGCAUCUCUUUGUUCCCCUGUAAAUUCAGGAUGUCCCUCCCUUAGCUGGCAAUGGCUGCAACCCAUUGAAUCUAGCAUUCCGAUGGAAAUCAAAUUUUUUCGUAGUUUUGGUACCUGUCGUACCUCGUCAACGUCACAGACCUCUCGUCUGCCAUUCAGAAACCGGACUGUUCCCCUUGUUCAACAACUUUGUUCGUCUUGUUGUUCGCCAUCCGUACAAGUCCCAUCUCAUUUGCAUAUGUAUAGAACAUUAUUCCUGUCCUCUACAAAAAUGGUUAGGCAUUUGCUGAAUCCAAUACCCAUCUGGAUUCUCAUCUGCUGAUGAUACUAAAAAAGCAUCAUUGUCGAAUCUGUCAUCACUGAUGCCGAUGCUGAUGCUGUCUCUAAGACUGCAUGUGGUGGUUUUUAUACUUUGGACAAUUCCUCUGAUAUGCCCCUCUUGGUCCAGAAAAAAACUUAACACUGGCGACUCUUGAUUGUGACCUCAGCCGUCCUCUUCCAUUACUUCCUGUGAUGACGCUCGACCUCUUUUUCCUGGCUUCGUUUUGAGAUUAAGGCCUGCGACUCACUUCGAUCUUCAUGCCCAUCGCUUUCUUCCGUGCCUCUUCAUUGAACAGGCAUCCUUGAUGUACUCCAUAGUCAACUUUUUUUCACCCCUCCUCCCUCCUCUCCCUUUCCCUCCCGCCCGUACGCAGAAUUGCUGAGAGAACCACCCAUGUCUCUCACUAUCCUGGGAUAAGAACUCAGAAGCAA